rnacentral:rRNA from 1 species
AGUGAACGCUGGCGAUAGGCCUAACACAUGCAAGUCGAACGGCAGCACAGUAAGAGCUUGCUCUUACGGGUGGCGGGUGGCGGACGGGUGAGGAAUACAUCGGAAUCUACUUUUUCGUGGGGGUUAACGUAGGGAAACUUACGCUAAUACCGCAUCCGACCUACGGGUGAAAGCAGGGGAACUUUGGACCUUGCGCGAUUGAAUGAGCCGAUGUCGGCUUAGCUAGUUGGGGGGGUAAAGGCCCACCAAGGCGACGAUCCGUAGCUGGACUGAGUGGAUGGUCAGCCACACUGGAACUGGAACACGCUCCAGACGCCUACGGUAGGCAGCAGUGGGGAAUAUUGGACAGUGGGCGCAAGCCUGAUCCAACCAUACCGCGUGGGUGAAAAAGGCCUUGGGUGUGUAAAGCCCGUUUGUUGGGAAAGAAAAGCAGCAGGUUAUUACCCCGCGGUUCUGACGGUACCCAAAGAAUAAGCACCGGCUAACUUCGUG